rnacentral:rRNA from 1 species
AACGAACGCUGGCGGCAGGCCUAAUACAUGCAAGUCGAACGGGCGUAGCAAUACGUCAGUGGCGGACGGGUGAGUAACACGUGGGAACAUGCCUUUCGGUUCGGAAUAACGCAGGGAAACUUGCGCUAAUACCGGAUGACCCGGCGACGGAAAAGAUUUAUCGCCGAAAGAUUGGCCCGCGUAGGAUUAGCUAGUUGGUGAGGUAACGGCCCACCAAGGCGACGAUCCUUAGCUGGUUUGAGAGAACGAUCAGCCACACUGGGGACUGAGACACGGCCCAGACUCCUACGGGAGGCAGCAGUAGGGAAUCUUGGACAAUGGGGGAAACCCUGAUCCAGCCAUGCCGCGUGAGUGAUGAAGGCCUU